UAACCUGAAACUCCUCUCACUUUUUCUUAACCCUAGAUCUCUCUUCAGCCGUUUUACUUCUCAACUUUCAUCUCUCACCAUUUCUCUUUCCUCUCUCCAUGGUGACUCUUUUCUCUCUCUUUCUUCUUCGGCAACAAUAGCGAGUACCACCGACGGCGAAACUUUGUGCAACUGCAUUAGUAAACAAAUCAAAAUUCAGAAAAGGGAUGACAGAGAGUUUUGCCAAAAGCGCUUCGCCGCCAUCGUUGGAGUCGUUGGCCGCCACAUCAUUGGGGUCGUUGACCGCCGCUGCCGGAGUUGGGGGCUUUCAUUGCUGUCUCUUUCCUCUACCACACCACCCCGACCCGCAACCCCUGCCUCCGCCUCCCUGCCCAGCCGCAACCCCCUGCUCGUGACUUGCUUCAAUAAAUUUCCAGAAAGUUCUUCGAUUUUCAGAUCUGGUGGAGGAAGAGAAGAAAUUGCAGACCAAACUUCUAUAUUUCGAUCUUUUUAGAUAUGAUUUGUAUAAGUUUUUCAUUUUAGAUUUUUUUCUUCAUAUUAUUUGAACACAGAACAGUUGUAGAGAGAAAAGAAAUCAGGGUUUGGAAUAUGAAUGGUGGUGGGAUUGUUAUGUUAA